CCAUAAUUUCUUCAAUAUGUUCUAUUCAUUGUUUUGUUAUGUACCUAUGGUGAUAGAGAUUUCGGGCCUUAGGAUUGCUUAACUGAAAUAAACCACUUCAACAACAAUGUGCGGAAUGCACUGGAGAUGGUUCGUCAUAUCUGAAACCUUGUUGUAUUUUUAAAAGAGAUUUCGGAAUCGUGUUCUUCAUUUGACGGUCGAAAAGGUCUUGUACCGCCGGGAGGACUGCGCGGGAAGGUGUUCACAUGUGGAUGUUGAUGAAGUCGGAUUUGGUUGAUAUCUAGUUUGAGGCUCUCGUUUGGUGCUUGGAGAUCCUGCCGAUGGAGGAUCUCAAUCUGACGACCUCCAUGACUUGCUAGUUAUUUUCUUCCACCAUGGUUGUCUUCCUCUGAAAUGGAAUUAGUACCUCAGAUUUGUCGCAAGUAUCUAUUUUGUUCAUGCCCGGUACUUGUUAGUAAUUGUAUGUAUGGAUUAUCUCGUUUAGAGAUUAAUUUUUUUUGAGAUUUGUGAUUUAGUUCCUUGGAUCCAUUGGAGGUAAUAAUUUCCAUUAAUGUCGGUACUAUUAGUCAUUACAAGUAUGGAUUAAACAACUUAUUACUCUUCAUGCGGGGACCUGUAAGUGAUUGGAGGUACUGAUUUUUUUUGUUUUUUAAUAUUUAACAACUGAUAUUUUUUUAUGGUACUGAGUUCAAUUUUACAGAUAUCGAUUUUGGUGUUGUGAUACCAAUUUACACUUUAGAUCUGAAAGUUUCAUGUAAAAAGGGACUUGAGAAACUACGAGAUAAAAAUAAUAGUAAUAUUUUUAUUAAUUUAAUUAAGUAAU
rnacentral:lncRNA from 1 species